AACGUAGGGGGCGAGCGUUGUCCGGAAUUACUGGGCGUAAAGGGCGUGUAGGCGGUUCGUGAAGUCAGGAGUGAAAACCCGGAGCUUAACUCCGGGACUGCUUUUGAAACCAACGGGCUUGAGUACAGGAGAGGGAAGUGGAAUUCCCAGUGUAGCGGUGAAAUGCGUAGAUAUUGGGAGGAACACCAGUGGCGAAAGCGGCUUCCUGGCCUGAAACUGACGCUGAGGCGCGAAAGCGUGGGGAGCAAACAGGAUUAGAUACCCUGGUAGUCCCUGAGCGGGCUGGCAA
rnacentral:rRNA from 1 species